AUUGAACGCUGGCGGCAGGCUUAACACAUGCAAGUCGAGCGAGCGGCGGAAGGGUGAGUAAUGUACGGGAAACGGCCCGAUGGAGGGGGAUAAGUACUGGAAACUGUAGCUACUACCGCAUACCACGAGCGGUGCCGAGAUGGGAUUAGCUAGUAGGUGGGGUAAUGGCUCACCUAGGCGACGAUCCCUAGCUGGUCUGAGAGGAUGACCAGCCACACUGGGACUGAGACACGGUCCAGACUCCUACGGGAGGCAGCAGUGGGGAAUAUUGGACAAUGGGCGCAAGCCUGAUGCAGCCAUGCCGCGUGUGUGAAGAAGGCCUUCGGGUUGUAAAGCACUUUCAGCGAGGAGGCGUUACUCGCAGAAUAAGCACCGGCUAACUCCGUGCCAGCAGCCGCGGUAAUAC
rnacentral:rRNA from 1 species